rnacentral:tRNA from 1 species
GCUGGCCUGGCGCAGCGACUCCACGGUCUGGCUGCUGGCAUCGCCCAACUGUGCCAGGGCAUGGUUGAUCUGUUCGGCGCCGGUGGCCUGGGCC